rnacentral:lncRNA from 1 species
UUUCCUUCCACUCAAAGUCUGGCCACAACAAAAAAGAAAGCAGGUUUCGAGAGAGUCUUCUUGAUUUGGACCCACCAUUCCAGUCCCUCAAGAUCUCUCUAAAUCCACACUCUGUAGUGGAGCAUUUUGGCUCUCCUUCCCAGCUUUGUGGCCCCUGAACAUUUGGUAAGCAUGUCAUCCAUAUCUUCAUGGUGUCCCUUACAACAUCCACAGAGAGGACUGAGGCAGAGAGCCAGAGGGCUUUGGCAGAUCAACCCCUCUAGUCUGCUGUUAAUCCACAAAAACAUCUCAUGCAUAUGGUUGUUCAACUUGUGAAAUUUCCUAAAUACUAUCAGCGGGCAUAUCUCCAUUUUAUCCAAGAUUACACCAUGGAAGACUUAC